ACAUACGACCAUAGACUCAAGAGAAUUGGGCAUCCCGUCCGCUCUGCCAUACACAAGCUUGAGAUCGGUGGAUUAGUAGUUGGGUGAGUUGGGUGGGUGAUGGGUGGGUGACCACCAGCGAAUACCCACUGUUGUAUGUU
rnacentral:rRNA from 1 species